UACGAAGGGUGCAAGCGUUACUCGGAAUUACUGGGCGUAAAGCGUGCGUAGGUGGUGAGUUAAGUCUGAUGUGAAAUCCCCGGGCUCAACCUGGGAAUGGCAUUGGAUACUGGGCUCGCUAGAUGCGGUAGAGGGUGGUGGAAUUCCCGGUGUAGCAGUGAAAUGCGUAGAGAUCGGGAGGAACAUCUGUGGCGAAGGCGGCCACCUGGACCAAGCACUGACACUGAGGCACGAAAGCGUGGGGAGCAAACAGG
rnacentral:rRNA from 1 species